rnacentral:rRNA from 1 species
GAUGAACGCUGGCGGCGUGCCUAACACAUGCAAGUCGAACGGAGUCCAGCCUUUAAGACCUUCGGGUCAAAGAGGGGAAGACUGAGUGGCGGACGGGUGAGUAACACGUGGGCAACCUGGCUCAUAGAGGGGGAUAACAGAGAGAAAUUUCUGCUAAUACCGCAUAAGCACACACUGCCGCAUGGCAGAGGGUGAAAAGAGAAUCGCUAUGAGAUGGACCCGCGUCUGAUUAGCCAGUUGGCAGGGUAAGAGCCUACCGAAGCGACGAUCAGUAGCCGAUCUGAGAGGAUGAACGGCCACAUUGGGACUGAGACACGGCCCAAACUCCUACGGGAGGCAGCAGUGGGGGAUAUUGCACAAUGGGGGGAACCCUGAUGCAGCGACGCCGCGUGAGUGAAGAAGUAUUUCGGUAUGUAAAGCUCUAUCAGCAGGGAAGAUAAUGACAGUACCUGAAUAAGAAGCCCCGGCUAACUACGUG